CUUUAUUGGAGAGUUUGAUCCUGGCUCAGGACGAACGCUGGCGGCGUGCCUAAUACAUGCAAGUCGAGCGGACUUGAUGGAGUGCUUGCACUCCUGAAGGUUAGCGGCGGACGGGUGAGUAACACGUAGGCAACCUGCCCUCAAGACUGGGAUAACUACCGGAAACGGUAGCUAAUACCGGAUAAUUUAUUUUGCAG
rnacentral:rRNA from 1 species